UUUAUUGGAGAGUUUGAUCCUGGCUCAGGACGAACGCUGGCGGCGUGCCUAAUACAUGCAAGUCGAGCGGACUUGAUGGAGAGCUUGCUUUCCUGAGAGUUAGCGGCGGACGGGUGAGUAACACGUAGGUAACCUGCCCUCAAGACUGGGAUAACUACCGGAAACGGUAGCUAAUACCGGAUAAUUUAUUUUGCUGCAUGGCGAAAUAAUGAAAGACG
rnacentral:rRNA from 1 species